GCUGCGAGAGUGAGUACGAGAGUCGAGACAACGUUAUGCACUUUAGUGUAGGUGUUUAAGGUUAUUUAGUGGAUUGGAUCUUGUUGGGCUAAGAAAUGAAACAAUAAAAUGGGUAAUUGGGCCAAAAAUUAAAAAAUUAGAAAUGAAACAAAUUAUUGGGUUAAAAAUUUGGAUUUAGAAAUUGUUAAUUUGUUAAGAAAAAAUUAAAAUUAAAAUAAUUUGAUUUACUCAAUAUAAAAAAA
rnacentral:lncRNA from 1 species